UAACAUCAGUUAGUCUUUUGAAAGUAGUGAGGCUGUGGAGGUGCUUAAACAUACAGUAAGGUUCUAACAUUUUUACAUUCUUACUUCCCGGUGGCUCAGAAAUAAGCAAUAAUAACAACAGCAGCACCACCAAGAUGAGUCAGUAACAUCAGUGGUUUGGCUCUCAGUCUGUUAUGAAACUCAAAACAUUCAUGUGACGUCAUUAUCGAGUCAUCCUGAGUGCAGUGACAUCAGCAUGACCGCAAUAACUGGGUGACGUCAGGGAUGAGACAUGUCGCAGGUUAGGCAGCAAGAGCGGGUAGAUGAUAAAAGCAUUUCUAGUUAUAGGGAAAGAAGCGUGGGAGUAAGUCCUGUUUGUGCAAGGCUUGGGCAAGAUAGGCUUUGUUACGCUAUUGUUUUGUUGUAACUGCUUCUACUUGAGGAGAUAAAAGAACUAGUUUCAGGCUUAUUAUUGGUGCCCUAGUUUAUAAAUAGUUCGUUACGCAUGUAGAUGGGCAGGUGGCUGUAGUAGUUUAAUUAGAGUAUAGAUGAUUUAUAAAGAUAAGACAAAAUAUAGAAUUAAGAAGGAACACACAGGUAGAUGAUUUAAAACAAACAUAAGCUAUAAUGUAGGCACAAUAGAAAAGGAAAGGAGUUAUAGAAGAAAAGAUCGGCUUUUUUAUGCUAUUGUUUUGCUAUGAAUGUUUCUACUUGUGGGGUGAAAGAACUCACGUCAAGCGUAAUGUAGCUGCUAUGGUUUAUAAAUAGUUACGUAUGUGGAUAGGCAGGUGGUUGUAGUAGUUUUAGAAGACAUGUGGAGUGUAAAGAGGAAAGAUGACUAUUUAAAGAACUGUUGUAGCUGAUGUAGGUAAAAUAAUGACAAAAGAUUACGAAUACACAGAGAAAUUUAAUUAAUACAGACAAUAUAUGCGAACAGUAGAAAAGGAAAUAAUUUGAAGAAGGAAGAAUGAAUGUGGAGAACAAAGAAAACGAAGAGACGAAGAAAAAGCGAUUAAGAAUGACAGGAAUUAACUCAAGCAAGGACACGAGGAAAAAGAAAAGAAAAGAUAAUGAAGAAUGAAAGAAACCGGAGCAGGAACAUCAGAUGAAGAAGAAGAAAAAGAGGAGGAAGAAGAAGAAAAAGAAGAAAAGAAGAAGAAAAAAAGAAAAUUAAGAAUAAGUAACAAAAGCAAAAUAUGGAGAAGAAAAAAGAGAAGAAAAACAGCAGAGCAAGAAGAUAAUGCAGAAGACCAUACAUGCAACAUAGUACAUUGAGAAUUCACACAAUACCACCACUAUCACCACCACCGCUACCAGUUCACGUGUCUGCAGAGGACGCACAGAGAGAGGAAGUGUACAAGAAAGCUGCUGGGAAGUUGACGUCACAUCUGUCACACGGGCGACUUUGUCGCUGCGACUGCAAAGCGAUUUACCCGCCGGCGAAUCGCUUUGGAGACAUGUUCCAUAGAACUGCAUGUUAAAACCGUGGGGGAUGUCACACGGGCGGUUUAGUCGCUCAGCCGCGGCGAUUUGAACGCGAGUCCCCGGUUACAACCGCCGCGACUGAGUCGCCUGGCUAUGUCAGACGGGCGGGUGUGAGGAGAUUUGCCCGCCAGCGACUAGUGUUGCCUAGACCACAGGAGGGUGAAGGCGUGCACGUGCGCAGCUCGUGAUGUUUGAUACCGAGAAGUUUAUCUGCGAGAUAAAGCUGCGUCCGGCCAUUUGGGACGUCCGCUCCAAAUCAUAUUCGAACAAGACUGAGAAAACCAAAGCGUGGGAAGAAAUAUGUUCUAGUUUUAUUGAUAACUUCGAAGCCUUGGAGAAGGAUGAAAAAAAUAAAGAAGCGAUUGCUCUUCAAAAGAAAUGGAAAAACAUCCGAGAUUGCUACAGAAGAGAGUGUGCAAAAAAGAAGACUGAGAAGAGUGGGUCGGGUGCCACUGCAGUGAGAAAAGAAUAUAUCUUUUUUUCUCAGUUGUCGUUUUUAUCGGCGAACAACGAUAUCAAGCCUUCUCAGUCCAGUGAUGACAUGGAGGAAGAGGAAGACUUUGAAAAAGGAAGAUGCGAUGCCAGAAAAGAUUUGCCGAAGCCAUCAGCAAAAAAGAAGAGAGCUAGUGCAGAGGAUAGCUUAAUAAAUGCACUUUCAACAAAAAUCAACAAACAACUUGAUGAGCCCAAGGACGACGCAGAUAGAAAUUUUCUCAUGUCCCUUCUACCCCAUUUGAAAUCUGUCCCCGAUUCGUCGAAAUUGGACUGUCAGUGUGAACUUAUGCAGGUUGUCAAAAGGUAUAAAGCUCCUAGCAUAACCCAUCCCUAUCAAGUCCCAUAGCCCAUUAAUUAUCAAGCUUCCCAAUCUUUCCAUGGUCAUGGCAAUUUUGGCGUGCAGAGUGCACAAAGCGGGGAGUUUGCAACCCCUGCUGUAUCUCCUGUGGGUUCUGCAUCUGUAGAUUCUAACGAUACAAUCUUGGAAGAACUUUUUUAGGUCUUAGGUAGCAUAUAGAGAGUGACAUGUCAGCCCAGUUCUCUCUCCUCACAGAUUAACCAUAGGAACAUAUUUAGAAUAUAUUAUCUCAUUUUCAAAUCUCUAUGUUAUCUUCAUUAUUCAAUGGUCAUUCAUUCUAAUAAUUGGGCAGCUCUACUAUGCCAGGCCUCCACCCUACUAUGCAGCAUUCUUUAAUAUGACAGACAGGUCCGACUAUUUUUUCUUGUAAUGUUUACUUCUUUGUCGUGUAACAUGGGGCAGCGUAGGAAAAUUAUUAUUGUGUCACAGAUCACUAUGUAAUUAAUAUUAAGCGCCGUAUUUCUCCGUCCAUCUGUCCGUCCGUCUGUGUGUUACAUUCAUACAAUGCUUCCACUCCUGUGGGUUCUGCAUCUGCAGUUUCUAGUGAUACAAUACUUGAAUAACUUUGUUAGAUAAUAAAAAUGA